rnacentral:lncRNA from 1 species
GAGUUUUAGAAAUAGGCCUAAGACACACGAGGGAUGCAUUUCCCCAAACCAUUAUCCUCAGCCCUACAGAGUGAUCUGGAUAAGAUGUCUGAAGAUCCGUGGAGUUAAAAAUACUUUUUAUUGGGCAAGGACAGUGGCUUAUGUUGAGGUGGGAAGAUCACCUGAGCCCAGGAGCUCAAGGUUGCAGUGAGCUAUGAUUAGAACCUUGCCCACUGCACUCCCGCCUGGUGACACCACGAGACCCCCGUCUCUAAGAAAAAAAAAAGCACUUAUUAAAAAAUCUGAAUUCUCCUUUGUUUCAUUCAACAUAUGGGAUCCACUUUGAAGGGAAGUGUUGUAAUCUAUAGAAGACAAGGGCAACAUAUCACUAUUUGCAGAAAAUAGAUGAUUACUAUGUUCACUAUUUGUAGGAUCACCAAUUUACACUGAUUCUAGUCUGAUACGGCAGCAGUCAGCCUAAAGUGUCCUGAGUGAGUUUGUAGAAGCCACGAUUUGUACAAAAUAUCUCCCCUCAAGCUGGAAAAGAUGUUUAAAAGACCAUGGAAAUCACGAAUGCCCAUGGGGGCUGCCAAAGCAAAGUAGCAAGAUAUCAGCACCACCACGGGGGCUGACAGAGCAGAAAUCUAUCUUCACAACUCUGGAGGCUAGAAGCUCAAGACCAAGACAGAGUCUGACUCUGUUGCCUACGCUAGAGUACAAUGGUACCAUCUCAGCUCACUGCGACUUCAACCCCACCAGGUUCAAGCAAUUCUCCUGUCUCAGCCUCCUGAGUAGCUGGGAUUACAGGUGACUGCCACCACACCCGGCUAAUUUUUGUAUUUUUAGUAGAGACAGGGAUUUGCCAUGUUGGCC